AAUUGAAAAUUCAUGAGCAAAAUGGAAAAUAUUCAUCAUUCAUUGUGAAUGGUGAGGGACCCUGCAGUUUUAGUUUUGGUUGCCACCAACAAAAGACCGCCGGAGGUUGUGGUGGCAAAGAAAAAUGACGUAGAUGAAGAAGUUGAGGACAGCGAAAAAAACUUUCGAAAAUAGUGAGAUACAAACUGGGAGAAGAAACGU
ensembl:ncRNA C17H11.10 ncRNA